rnacentral:rRNA from 1 species
UACAGAGGUCCCAAGCGUUGUUCGGAUUCACUGGGCGUAAAGGGUGCGUAGGUGGUGAGGUAAGUCGGAUGUGAAAUCUCCGAGCUCAACUCGGAAAUGGCAUUGGAAACUACCUUGCUUGAGGGUUGGAGGGGGGACUGGAAUACUUGGUGUAGCAGUGAAAUGCGUAGAUAUCAAGAGGAACACCGAUGGCGAAGGCAGGUCUCUGGGCUGUAACUGACGCUGAGGAGCGAAAGCAUGGGGAGCGAACAGG